UUUCCAUAUAUUAUAUAAUUUUAUUUAUGCUUUUGUAUGUCUUAUUUCCCCGACUGAUUUGUGUGAUGACAUUGUUUGUUCCUUUCUGAAUAACGCUGAUUAUUGGAAUAUUGUCCAUGGUUGACCUCUGUGUUGCAGUGAUCCUUUAUUUGGUUCAUUAUCAAUGAUAGUUAUCUCUUUCUAAUCAGUUUUCAGUGAUGGUUUAUGCUAUAUGUAUUUUCUUUUUGGAGUUUUUCAGUCAGGAAUGGACAACCUUUCUCUGGCAAGUAUGUCCACGUGAACACAAAUUGUGCUAACCGUAGAGUGGUGUUCCUUUGUCCAUGAUAUAUGAGCUUGGGAAAGCAGGGUUACGUAUUUCUUUCAUAUGCUUUUGAUCAAAUUUUGUGGUACUUGGCUCACAUUUUUGCAUCUUUCAAAAAGGUACGUAGCACUACCCAACUGCUAAUUAGCUAUUUAUAUUUAUCGGGUGCACAAUCUACUCUCUUUUUUGCGAAUGGGUGCACAAUCUACUGCUUGAAUGGUUUUCUAAUUAUAAUUGUUUAUAUAGAAUCUCAAGCGGAAUUGCAUGGGCUGUUUGUAUCGAUAAACUAUUGUUCGAAUGGCAAUGGCUACUCAUUUCUUUUAUUCGGUUGCAGAACAAAGUCCUUUGUGUGGGCUACAGGCAAUGCAAAUGUCCAGAACCACUCAUAGAACUUUGCACUUAAUGUAGCAAGAGUUGAGAGAAAUAUAGUCAGCCGUGGCAUGCUAGCACUCAAUACUCAGUAGGCAACAAGAAUGUAACCGAUCUGAGGAACAAAUGCAUAUGACUUAUGUUUUUUUAUUUCCUAA